CCCCUAGAUGUUCUGGGCCGCACGCGCGCUACACUGAACAGUUCAACAAGUCUUAACCUUGGCCGAUAGGUCUGGGUAAUCUUUGAACGCUGUUCGUGAUUGGGAUAGACCUUUGCAAUUAUGGGUCUUCAACGAGGAAUUCCUAGUAAACGCAAGUCAUCAGCUUGCAUUGAUUACGUCCCUGCCCUUUGUACACACCGCCCGUCGCUACUACCGAUUGAAUGAUUUAGUGAGGACUUCGGACUGGGACCGAUGCGGCUUUCGGGCUGCGUCGGUAUUCUGGAAAGAUGUCCAAACUGUAUCAUUUAGAGGAAGUAAAAGUCGUANCA
rnacentral:rRNA from 1 species